rnacentral:rRNA from 1 species
UACGAAGGGGGCAAGCGUUGUUCGGAAUUACUGGGCGUAAAGGGCGCGCAGGCGGCCUUAGAAGUCAGAUGUGAAAGCCCCGGGCUCAACCUGGGAAUGGCAUUUGAUACUCUGAGGCUGGAGUACGGGAGAGGAGAGUGGAAUUCCCAGUGUAGAGGUGAAAUUCGUAGAUAUUGGGAAGAACACCGGUGGCGAAGGCGGCUCUCUGGACCGUAACUGACGCUGAGGCGCGAAAGCGUGGGGAGCAAACAGG